rnacentral:rRNA from 1 species
UGCAAGUCGAGCGAACGGAUAGGAGCUUGCUCCUUUGAAGUUAGCGGCGGACGGGUGAGUAACACGUGGGUAACCUACCUAUAAGACUGGAAUAACUUCGGGAAACCGGAGCUAAUGCCGGAUAACAUUUGGAACCGCAUGGUUCUAAAGUAAAAGAUGGUUUUGCUAUCACUUAUAGAUGGACCCGCGCCGUAUUAGCUAGUUGGUAAGGUAACGGCUUACCAAGGCAACGAUACGUAGCCGACCUGAGAGGGUGAUCGGCCACACUGGAACUGAGACACGGUCCAGACUCCUACGGGAGGCAGCAGUAGGGAAUCUUCCGCAAUGGACGAAAGUCUGACGGAGCAACGCCGCGUGAGUGAUGAAGGUUUUCGGAUCGUAAAACUCUGUUAUUAGGGAAGAACAAAUGUGUAAGUAACUGUGCACAUCUUGACGGUACCUAAUCAGAAAGCCACGGCUAACUACGUGCCAGCAGCCGCGGUAAUACGUAGGUGGCAAGCGUUAUCCGGAAUUAUUGGGCGUAAAGCGCGCGUAGGCGGUUUCUUAAGUCUGAUGUGAAAGCCCACGGCUCAACCGUGGAGGGUCAUUGGAAACUGGGAAACUUGAGUACAGAAGAGGAAAGUGGAAUUCCAUGUGUAGCGGUGAAAUGCGCAGAGAUAUGGAGGAACACCAGUGGCGAAGGCGACUUUCUGGUCUGUAACUGACGCUGAUGUGCGAAAGCGUGGGGAUCAAACAGGAUUAGAUA